rfam:Oscillatoria nigro-viridis PCC 7112, complete genome.
UAAUCAAAAAUCAAUAAGCUGAAGACCGCAGGUGCCGAUCGCUUAAUUUCCUGCCGAGGCUGAAGAAAUAAAAACUCAAGACUCAAAGAUUAGAAAAUUUCUAUUUUUUAAUUCUGACUUGUUAAUUUUUAAUUCUCUGCCCCGGCUCGAAGGUCGGGGUUUUUGACGGGCAAU